ensembl:ncRNA C08B6.16 ncRNA
GAGCAGUUAACCGUGAGUUCAUUGAAGUUUGAUAAUACUGGGCAAUACUCAUCAUUGCAACUAUUAAAAAUCCUUCUAAAAGCAUUGUUGAAACUGCAGUUGGAUCUUGAACUCUCUGCUUUAACAUCAGACCAAAAGUUUCCUAAAUUAUCAGAACAUGUUACAACAAAACUUUGAAUGUAUCUUACCAAAACGCUGCUUGUGUAAAUAUUAAAUUUGGAUC